UACGUAGGGGGCUAGCGUUGUCCGGAAUCAUUGGGCGUAAAGAGCGCGUAGGCGGCCAGAUAAGUCCGGUGUGAAAGUCAAAGGCUCAACCUUUGAAUGCCGCUGGAAACUGUCUGGCUAGAGUCCGGAGGGGCGAGUGGAAUUCCUGGUGUAGCGGUGAAAUGCGUAGAUAUCUGGAGGAACACCGGUGGCGAAGGCGGCGUCCUGGACCAACACUGACACUGAUGAGCGAAAGCCAGGGAGCAAACGGG
rnacentral:rRNA from 1 species